CGAAUAGUACCGGUACCGAUAUAAUAUAGUGUUUUUUUUGCCUGACACGUCUCCUGCAAUAGUGCAUUUAGGCUGCACCAAAUUUACAAAAAAACGACUUAUCUGGGAGCCUGGGACACCACAACAGACUCAAAGAAUCGAGGACACCAUCAAACAACUGGACAUAUCUGGAACUUCAUCAUACCAAACUAACUUUCAUCCAAUCUGGAAACCGGAGACCAACGAGGAAGAAUAGAACUGCUUUGGGUCUUUCUUUUCACCCUAUCCUUUAACCAUAAAAUACCCCAGUACCCAUGUAGCUUUUGUCAUAAAUUUAAGAAUAAAUAUUUAAUUUAGCACUUAUUUAAUUAUUUAAUUUGUUGUAAUAAAAUUUUAAAAGUAAGCUAUUAUGUAAUAAAAUUAUUCUUUAGUGUCAAUAAAAUGUACAGUUUAUAUCAAAACUUCAAGAUGAAUAAAGAACUUAUUUUAAAUA